GCUACCUCCGUGGCAGGAGCAGCGGGCUUGCGUGGGGUCUAAGCGGUAUGCGGAAUCCUUGGGGUUAAAGGGUCCGUAGGCGGACUUAUAAGUAGGCGGUGAAAGUUUUUGGCUUAACCAAAAAAUUGCCAUUGAUACUGUAGGGCUUGAAUAUUUGUGAAGUAACUAGAAUAUGUAGUGUAGCGGUGAAAUGCUUAGAUAUUACAUGGAAUACCAAUUGCGAAGGCAGGUUACUAACAAAUGAUUGACGCUGAUGGACGAAAGCGUGGGUAGCGAACAGGAUUAGAUACCCUUGUAGUC
rnacentral:rRNA from 1 species